AGUUUCGCUUAGACACACGCCAAUGCUAAUUGUCCCGCGUUGUGAGCACAGCCCAACAAUCGGAGUAAAGAUACCGAAACACCCGCGACACACAAUUACCAAUCCGCACUAGAACGAACACAAAUAGAAUAAUAUUAUAAUAUUAUAAUAGCCCAUCUGACUGAACUGAUCAGAUCUGAUCUCCGAUCACUUCACUCCAGUUAUCACUGGCAUUGCCACCACACACACACACGCAGUAUUAUGGAUGUUGCCAAAAUAGAACGUGAUCCGGUCCCAAAAAUGCGACUUC
ensembl:ncRNA lncRNA:CR45607 long non-coding RNA:CR45607